GUUGUGUAAUGUAAAUUAUAAAGCUUUGUCUGUAGGGUUUGUGAUGCUCAUAGUUUAUGUGCCUCUUACUUGUGUCCCAUCAAUGGGGGUAAUGUACACUUUCUUUUUUCAGGGAAAUUCAUUUAUACACCAUGCAUAUAUUUCAUAAUGUAAAGCAAGUAGUUGAGGAAGAGGUAUGAACAACAUGACAACAGAAAGGGUAGCUUCCUAGUAUCGCGAUUUCGUCCACACAACAAAAAAAUGGUAUGAGCAAAUAGUUGAGAUAAAUAAAUAAAUAAAAGAGCAACUUGACGAAACGAAAGGCAAAAAUUCAACAAGAGAGAGAAAGGCAAAAAAAAAUGCAACGGCCUGGGCAGAACUUCAUGACAACGAUGGUAAAGACGACUUAAGGAUUUUAUCAAACGAUUUAUGGCACCACUAGAUAACUUCAAAUUCGUAUUAACUAUCUUUUCUUUAUGUACAUACACACCAUUGUUUAAUAUUUGAUAAAGUCAAAUUGAAGGGGAGGGAGUUUGAGUCACUAGACUUACACUAAAUCGACAGGUGUUUAUGAUAUUGUAUAUAUUUAUCUUUAAAUAAUGUGGGGUUGAAAUACUGAUAGUUGAGAUGUUAUUUGUCUUAAAGAUGGAGUCAUCUCAUUAGAUAGUUUUCUUUUUUAAACUAUAAGAAAAAACUGUCUGCCAAAACGGAUAACAAAAGGCGUCGAAAGAAAGUUUGUCAGGAGAUAACACUUCUGCCACGACAGUUAUCUUAGGCAUCAGGACAUAGAAUCAAUCUCUCAACAGCCGUAUGAAGCGCGUUGGGAGAUUAGUCUAUCUACCAACAUUGUAUGCUUAGCCGUGUGUGUAGACUUCAAAAUAUCCAUGACUCAUCGAGAGAUACCACAAUAACAGACGCCACUUUACUGGGUCGACAGUUCACCUGUAAAAAGGAAAAAGAAAAGAAAAAAAAAGAAAAAACUUUUGUCCUCUUCUUUGUAGUUCCAUCACAUUCCCUUUUCAUUUUCGCUUCACAAACUUUCCGCACCCGACUUCGUCUCUCCUAUUUCCGUCAUCGAUUUCUUCUCCUCUCUAGCUUCCCUGAUUGAUUUUCUCCCUGAUCCCCAUUCAUCGGUCACCUUCUCCCCCUCUCCUUUCCGUUGAUUCCACGCUACGACGUCAUCUCUCUCUAUUUCCAUCGUCGAUUUCUCCUCCUCCCUUCUCCGGUCGAUUUUUCCCUUCCAUCCAUUGGUCGCCUUCUCCCCCUCUCCUUUUGCGCUCACUUCUCCCCUAUUUCCAUCGCUUGACAACAACCCCUCUCCUUCGACAAGCAAUGCAUUCGGCUAUCUGACCACUGAAACUAUCCCCAACCAUGGCACCCACAUUGGAGAUCGAGCACCAACCAAAAACCAGAUAUAAAAAGUCCAAUGUGAUAAUAUGUUCAACUGGGCUGGGGAAAGAACCAUAGGCGUUGGACUGUGAGUCGUAGCUAGAAUCCUUCAUUAUCGAUGAUUGAGUGGGAGAGAUGAAUAGUCACACUAGCUGCAUCAAGUGAUGAGAAAUUACACAUUAAAAUUCAACUAAUUCAAACACCAACAUAAUCUCAGAUGAACUGUCAAUCGUCACAACUUCCUCUCCUAAUUCAAUUCGGAAGGCAAGCAGUCGUGUGAUUGGUCGGAAGACUUGGAGAUAAGAAAUGUGGUAGCGAGAGAAGACAGUUGAGAAGGGGUUUAGAUGCUAAUGAAAAUUAUUUUAUAUAUUUUGUCUGCCAUUUUUGCAAGUGCCACAAUAUAUAUAAUAUAGUUAUGUAAUUAUUCAUUAUCAACAUUAUUUUCCUAUCCCUAUUUAAUCAACUAUAUAGAAUAUGACUUCUAAUUCA